rnacentral:lncRNA from 1 species
GUGGUGGUUCAGUUUGUGCUCCAGCCACCACAACACAUCGCAACACAUCAAAACCGUGACUGUCGUCGCCUCUCCUCUUCCUCGCGAAAUCAAGCUCGAGCCGUCGUGGUCAUCACUGGCUCCGCCUUCCUCGUCGUAGCCGAGAGCUUUAGUCAUCGUCGCAAAUCAAGCUGUGACUGUGCCACCGUCUCCUCCAAGACGUGACCAAGCUUCCUCUGUGGCCGUGCUCAGCUCCACCGUGACCGUGCUCAGCUCCAUCGUGGCCGUGCUCGUCGUUUCCGUCUAAGAAAAAGCUUCGAUCCUCUCCAAUGGUGAAGUUAUAAGUAUUUGCAAGACAGGUCCCUGAACUUCUGGUUCUUUACAAAAUGGCCCCUAUCUUUAGAAUUUGCAGACACACCCUCUAAAUUCAACCCCAAUCUUUCAUCUGUGCGAUUUAGCCCUCGUAUAAUUGCAAGAUGGUCCCUUGGUUUCGGAUUUCUUUCAAAUUGGCCACAAACUCCAUAACUUGCAAGAACAACCUUGUGAUUUCGCCCCAAACUUCUCAAGUGUGCACUUUAGCCCCUAUUUAUGCAAUUAUGCAUGUAAAUGCAAUAUUAAGACCUAAAUGCAAUAUAGAAUGAUUAAAAUGAACUAAAUAAGAUGCUAAAUACUAU